rnacentral:misc_RNA from 1 species
GUGAAUCAUCGAAUCUUUGAACGCAUAUUGCACUCGCUGGUAUUCCGGCGAGUAUGCCUGUUUGAGGGUAAUUACAAAGAAUCUUUCACCAGUUUUUUUUGGUCAAAGGAAAUGAGUUCUCCGCGUUUAUCGCGGUAGCUUGCCGUAAAUAGUCAAGUCUCCUUUUAAUCGUGACGCGUAAUAAUAUUAU